UACAGAGGUCCCAAGCGUUGUUCGGAUUCACUGGGCGUAAAGGGUGCGUAGGUGGUGAGGUAAGUCGGAUGUGAAAUCUCCAGCUCAACUUGGAAACUGCAUUGGAAACUACCUUGCUAGAGGAUUUGAGGGGGGAUUGGAAUACUUGGUGUAGCAGUGAAAUGCGUAGAUAUCAAGUGGAACACCAGUGGCGAAGGCGAAUCCCUGGAAAAUACCUGACACUGAGGCACGAAAGCUAGGGGAGCAAACAGG
rnacentral:rRNA from 1 species